rnacentral:lncRNA from 1 species
UUAAAGACAGAUCUUCAACAUCCCUGACGGCAGCAAAUAUGUCUAUGAUAGUAACACGGGGUGAAGCGGCUGAGUGGAAGAAGAUAUAGAGUGCUGUAGAGAAAAGUAUUGGAGAACAAGAAGAGUGAUGCAGAAAAUGAAACGCAGGGACACAAAGAAAAAGCACGCAGUUCUGGACAUAUUUAUGAAGACUUAAGCUGGGACUUCCUCUGCACACCAGCUCCCUCCCCUGCCCCCAGCUCUACAGACAUGACCGCACUUCCCACCUCCCGGGUUUCCCACAGCCGAGUGGUGCCCUGAGUCUCUUCCUAUGUCCAAUCCUAUGGUUUUGUUUCCUUUGCUUUUUCUUUCCUGCCCACUUUGUAGUUAUAGGUAUUUGCUGAAGCUCAGACCUUGGCUCAUUUCCUUUCUCAUUCUUACUGAACUGAGAAGUUGGAAUGCUUCAAUCAACAGCACUGUGCCGACAGCCUCUCUCAUCCUGGAUCGCAGCCCCUAAGACAUGUCUUCCUGGAUAUUCCAGGGUUCUUUCACAUAUCUAACACAUACUGCAUCUUCACUGCUGCAUCCCAAUUUUCCCAGACCCACAAUGUGAAAAUUUUUAUUAUUUGGUCCUGAAACCUUUUGCAUCAUCCUACCUAUCAAAUCUGCCACAGUCCUUGUUGACUUUUAAAAAGUUUUACUAGGGUACCACGUCCAGUGUCUUGACCCCAGGCUGGUAACCAUCGCUUGCCCAUUACUCUGCACCAGCUUCUU